CUUUUACCCUUUCGAAGAAACAAUACUUUGUUUAUUUAUUUAUUCAUUCCAAAGAAACAAUACUUUGUUUAUUUAUUUAUUUAUUCCAUACAUAUACUAAGGGACAUCUCUGUCUUUAGUUGAAGUCUAAAAAAUAAGAAAAUGUUGCAUCAAAAUGAAAAUGAAACUCUAUGUGACUAUUUUCUUUAAAGCUUCUCGGCCAUAGCUAGAUAUCCUUCAGAUAGACCCAAAACCCUGGCUAGAAAAUCAAUUCCAUUUUCACAUUUUUCCAAAACACCGGCUGUUUCUUUCUUGAUCAUUUUAACAUCAUGUUGAACUACUUUUUUAAAGUAGUUCUUCAUGAGGCUCUUCGAGACAGGAAGCUUAAAUUUCCACCGGAAGUUUGUUAGGACAAAUGGAAAAAGCCUCGAAGACUCCGAGGUUGUCCUCGAGGCUCGAGUCGACGGAGAAAAUUGGGAAGUGAAGGUGGAAGCAUGGUGGGAAAGUUUGGUUUGGUGAGGGAUGGAAAGAAUUUGCCAACCACUGUUCAAUAAAGUUUGGUCACUUUGUGGUGUUCAAGUAUAAAGAAAAUUCUGGCAAUUUCCGUGUUCAUAUAUUCGAUGAAACUUGUAAAGAGAUUGAGUUUGGCUCCUUGAUGAACCAAAGAAGAAGAAGAAGAAGAAGAAGAAAAGCAACUCUUUCUGCAGCAGGAAUCUCUAAAGGCAAUACUGAUGAAAACCCCAUGCCAAGUAAGGUACUAUUAGUGAAGGCCACAAAUAGAAGCUGAUCAGCAAAAGAUAUGCUGGAGCUAAAGCAGAUGAAAGAGCAAAAGCUUUCAGGUCUAAAAACCCUUUAUUUUGGGUGAUAAUGGAGCAACCUUAUGCUUAUGGAAGAUAUAUGAAUAUCCCAAGGGACUUUGUUGAGAAGUAUCCAGAGGAUAAAGCCAUGGAUGUUAUCUUUAGGAACUCAUAAGGAAGAACUUGGUCGGUCCAAUACUUGUACCAGACUUUCCGCGGAAAGGCAAACGGAAAAUUCACUGGUUCCUGGUCCAAGUUUGUGGAGGACAACGACAUGGAAGUUGGUAAUGUAUGUUUGUUUGAGUUGAUCAACUCCCAACCGGGUGUUUGUUUUAAAGUUCAUAUUUUCCGAUCCCAAUCAAGUGAUAAUGAUGAUGAUGUCUGCUCCAUUUGAAAUUACUCUCCUAAUUUGGAUGUAUAGCUAAGACUACUGCUUUAAAGUUGGUCAUCAAUAUUAUAUUUUUAGCUAGGGGAAUUUCUGCUCUGUUUAGGACCACUUUCUUGCAAAAUUUAUCUAUUUAAUUAACUAGUAUAUAUGGGGAUAGAUAUCUUAGAUAUUAGUUGGUCUGCCAAAGAUUUUUUUGACAAUUUGUUUAGAAGUAAUAUUUACUUAAAAAUUAGAAAAUAAAGGACCUUGUUAUAUCUUAGAUUAAGCUUAUAAAUCUUAUUAAAAUGUUCUAUUGUAAAAGGAGGUGGACUUAGACGUUGGGUGGACACAAACCAAAUCACACCAACUAAAUUGAUCGAAUCGAUGUCUAUGACGGAUCACGGUAAGCUUUAAUCCAAAUCAAACCAACAAUAAAUAUAUAUUAGAUAAUCACACUAUAAAUGGCAAAAUUAAAUAUAUAUUUAUAUAUACAUAGAUUUUUAAUAUUUAUUAUAAAUAAUUAUAUUUUUAUAUUCUUUUAUGUUUUAAAAUUAUUUAAUUUAAGAUACUAAUAAUAUAAAAUUCAAAUUAUUAAAAAAAUAAAAAUAUUUUCAUAGGAAUCAAAGU